UACGAAGGGUGCUAGCGUUGUUCGGAAUUACUGGGCGUAAAGCGCACGUAGGCGGCUUGUUAAGUUAGGGGUGAAAUCCCAGGGCUCAACCCUGGAACUGCCUUUAAUACUGGCAAUCUCGAGUCCGAGAAAGGUGAGUGGAAUUCCGAGUGUAGAGGUGAAAUUCGUAGAUAUUCGGAAGAACACCAGUGGCGAAGGCGACACACUGGCUCAUUACUGACGCUGAGGCUCGAAAGCGUGGGGAGCAAACAGG
rnacentral:rRNA from 1 species